rnacentral:rRNA from 1 species
AUGUUGCCAGCACGUGAUGGUGGGGACUUAUAGAGACUGCCGGUGUCANCUCGGAGGAAGGUGGGGAUGACGUCAAAUCAUCAUGCCCCUUAUGUCUUGUGCUUCACGCAUGCUACAAUGGCCGGUACAAAGGGCUUGCGAUACCGCGAGGUGGACCGAAUCCCAAAAAACCGGUCUCAGUUCGGAUUGGGGUCUGCAACUCGACCCCAUGAAGUCGGAGUCGCUAGUAAUCGCAGAUCAGCAACGCUGCGGUGGAAUACGUUCCCGGGCCUUGUACACACCGCCCGUCAAGUCACGAAAGUCGGUAACACCCGAAGCCGGUGGCCCAACCCUUGUGGGGGGAGCCGUCGAAGGUGGGACUGGCGAUUGGGACUU